UGGCCCUUUCUCUGGAGAAAACUUGGAUAAAGUCGUGUGAACUAUACACAUGCAUCGUUGACUUUGUGAAAAACGAAGUCCCGAUUUCUUUUAUCAAUGAAUAUAAUUUUAUAGCCUGUUUGGGAGUGAUUUUUUAGUUCAAAAAAUUGGUUUUUUAACCGUUAUUUCAUUAUUUCAGCCGUCAUAUUUGACUUAUUCUCUCACAGGUGAACCCAACUUUUCUCCUAACGCUCAAAAAAUCAAUUCUCAAAAUCAUUUCCAAACAGGCUCUUAAUCGGAUAGAAAUGGAGAUCCUAGUGAUUCUAAACAAAGAUAUUUAUUACUAUAGAGCAGCAGUUCAUUAAUGGAGAUGAACUAAAAGGGAAAAUAAGCAGAGGCAAAGAGUACAACACGCAAGUACGAGGCUAAAAGUCCCGCAAACUAUGCCAAUAAUUUGGAGAAAGACAGAAAACUGUGCAUCUCUUUUGCGUUUAUAAUUAUAGGCAUGUGCAUAAUUCCAUCCUUGCUUAGCUACACAGCAAUUUUCGAGUCUUUCUUUUACUCUGAUUUCUUGUAUCCUUUCCCUCAGAAUGCACAGAUUCACAUCAACAAUGUCUCUUGAUUUCCCUGUCAAAGGAAAGUACAGAAAGAAACAACUAAACAUUGAUUUUUAAGACGACCAAGAACAAGAAGAAAUGUUAAGGAUAAAUCCCAUAUCGAACAUAUAAGGGUUGAACUACUACUCAGACAAGUUGCCCAUAAUGCUCAAACGAAUCAUAAGAUAUCAAGAUUCGUGUUGUCAAACGAGGGACGCGUAAAUUUUACCUUCUUCACCGUAGCUUUGGGAUCUCACUUGAAGGAACCGAUGAAACCGAGGCUUCUUAUAUGGCAAAGUCGCAGAACAAAAACUAGUUGUAGAAGAAGAAGC
rnacentral:lncRNA from 1 species